rnacentral:lncRNA from 13 species
CUCAGUUUGAAAGUGUCAACGGUCCUAUGACGCGGGAAUCCGCGAUUGGAAAUGAAGUACCGCUACCAUAUGUCGAUAAUGAUAUUGUCAUUACUGGUAUAUCAGGUCGUCUGCCUGAAUCAGCUAAUAUCGACGAAUUCAAAAAAAA